rnacentral:rRNA from 1 species
GACGAAGGGGGCUAGCGUUGUUCGGAAUUACUGGGCGUAAAGCGCGUGUAGGCGGUUGUUCAAGUCAGGUGUGAAAGCCUUGAGCUCAACUCAAGAAAUGCACUUGAUACUGGAUGACUAGAGGACCGGAGAGGAUAGUGGAAUUCCCAGUGUAGUGGUGAAAUACGUAGAGAUUGGGAAGAACACCAGUGGCGAAGGCGACUCACUGGACACGUAUUGACGCUGAGGUGCGAAAGCGUGGGGAGCAAACAGG